GGGCAUUACUUAUACAUCGAGUCAUCAAGUCCGAGAACGAAAGAUGACAAAGCUGAACUAGAAUCAACCACUUUGACAGGUGGCAUUCAAUACUGUAUAACAUUUUAUUAUAAUAUGUUAGGCGCAACAAUGGGAGCUCUUAAUAUAUAUAAGGAGGUUGUGCCUUCGGGUAAACGAGCCUACCUGCCACCACAGUCUAGUUUAACUUCGGGAAUAGCAGCACAGAGUGGCGUCAGAUCUUCCACAAGAACUCUUCUCUUUACAAUCCGAGAUGACCAUGGGGCGACGUGGCAUAAACAGCAAGUCAAUAUACCAGUUUCUAAUUCAGACUUCAAGAUCAUUUUAUCUGGUGUUGUUGGUACAAGCUUUUACAGUGAUUUAGCCAUUGAUGACGUCAGUAUUACAACCGGAACGUGUUAAAAGACUUGCAUUACUGAUAAGCGAAACAAAAUACGAAACGUUGUCAAUAAUGUAAAAUACUUUUAAUAAAUAAUU